AGAUGGUUCUUCAGAAGCUUGCUUCUAUCGAACCGUUUUAGAAACAUCAGUGGCCAACGGUCGUCAGGAUCGUUGAGCUGCAUUGGCGGGAUUUCGCCGUCUUCGUUUCUCUUUCUUCGCGGACGAACACGCGCUGGGGCUGCAACCUUGCAGAAUCCCUGGUCCUUGACUGGAUAUGCGUUAGGGGCUUGUAGCUCAGUUGGUUAGAGCGCGCGCUUGAUAAGCGUGAGGUCGGAAGUUCAAGUCUUCCCAGGCCCACCACACUCAUCGAGUGAGCAUUCGUCUUCUGGUUACGGGGCCAUAGCUCAGCUGGGAGAGCGCGUGCUUUGCAAGCAUGAGGUCGUCGGUUCGAUCCCGUCUGGCUCCACCAGAUGGUUUGAUCACCGGCUGCUCAUACCGUCGUCCGCGAAACAUCACUUCGCACUUACUAGUCCGGAUGGACAGUAAGCUGCGUGAUUUCUGACAUCGUAAAGAGGAGAUCGAUCCGAGUUGGAUCGGGCAACAAGUAAUUGUUGCGCGAUACUUCAUUAUCUCCGGAUCAUUUCGGCGCUCGUGCGUCUUCCAUUGUAGCUCACAAGGCUGCUUUGAAAGACAAGCGAGUUGUAAAUGAUCCUUUUAGCGAAGCUUGACCGCCUCGCUAUCGGAACGAUCUUACGAAGCAAGCUGGUCUUUCUAAUCAUUGUCCGGCUGCAGAUAGCGUUCAUCGAGGGCGCGUGCCGCAAGGUAGUUCUGCAGACAACAUUCUGCCGAGUGUGUGGACAUUGAUAAUGAGAGCAAUCAAGUGCCUAAGGGUGUCGGUGAUGCUG
rnacentral:tRNA from 1 species